rnacentral:rRNA from 1 species
CAGCCGCCGCGGGAAAACGUAGGUGGCAAGCGUUGUCCGGAAUUAUUGGGCGUAAAGGGCUCGCGGGCGGUUUCUUAAGUCUGAUGUGAAAGCCCCCGGCUCAACCGGGGAGGGUCAUUGGAAACUGGGAAACUUGAGUGCAGAAGAGGAGAGUGGAAUUCCACGUGUAGCGGUGGAAUGCGUAGAGAUGUGGAGGAACACCAGUGGCGAAGGCGACUCUCUGGUCUGUAACUGACGCUGAGGAGCGAAAGCGUGGGGAGCGAACAGGAUUAGAUACCCGCGUAGUCCCUGUCUCUUAUAC